UACGUGGGGGCCGAGCGUUGUCCGGAGUUACUGGGCGUAAAGGGCGCGCAGGCGGCGGCGUGGGUCCGGCGUGAAAGCCCCCGGCUCAACCGGGGAGGGUCGCCGGGGACCGCGCCGCUUGAGGGCGGCAGGGGCCGGUGGAAUGCCCGGUGUAGUGGUGAAAUGCGUAGAGAUCGGGCGGAACACCCGUGGCGAAGGCGGCCGGCUGGGCCGUCCCUGACGCUGAGGCGCGAAGGCGUGGGGAGCGAACGGG
rnacentral:rRNA from 1 species